rnacentral:rRNA from 1 species
AUACAACGAAGAGUUUGAUCCUGGCUCAGGAUGAACGCUAGCGACAGGCCUAACACAUGCAAGUCGAGGGGCAACAUGGUAUCAGCUUGCUGAUACCGAUGGCGACCGGCGCACGGGUGAGUAACGCGUAUGUAAUCUACCUGUAACAGAGGGAUAACCCGGAGAAAUCCGGACUAAUACCUCAUAGCACAUAUUAUUCGCAUGAAUUUUAUGUUAAAGAGACUCGGUUACAGAUGAACAUGCGUUCCAUUAGCUGGUUGGCGGGGUCACGGCCCACCAAGGCUACGAUGGAUAGGGGUUCUGAGAGGAAGGUCCCCCACACUGGUACUGAGACACGGACCAGACUCCUACGGGAGGCAGCAGUGAGGAAUAUUGGUCAAUGGGCGGAAGCCUGAACCAGCCAAGUCGCGUGGAGGAAGACGGCCCUACGGGUUGUAAACUCCUUUUACCUGGGAAUAACGGGCGCUACGCGUAGCGCUGUGCAUGUACCAGGCGAAUAAGCAUCGGCUAAUUCCGUGCCAGCAGCCGCGGUAAUACGGAAGAUGCGAGCGUUAUCCGGAUUUAUUGGGUUUAAAGGGUGCGUAGGCGGAAGAAUAAGUCAGCGGUGAAAUGCUUCAGCUCAACUGGAGAAUUGCCGAUGAAACUGUUUUUCUAGAGUAUAAAAGAGGUAUGCGGAAUGCGUGGUGUAGCGGUGAAAUGCAUAGAUAUCACGCAGAACCCCGAUUGCGAAGGCAGCAUACUGGGCUAUAACUGACGCUGAAGCACGAAAGCGUGGGUAUCGAACAGGAUUAGAUACCCUGGUAGUCCACGCCGUAAACGAUGAAUACUAACUGUUUGCGAUAUAAUGUAAGCGGUACAGCGAAAGCGUUAAGUAUUCCACCUGGGGAGUACGCCGGCAACGGUGAAAC